GAUGAACGCUGGCGGCGUGCCUAAUACAUGCAAGUCGAGCGAACAGACGAGGAGCUUGCUCCUCUGACGUUAGCGGCGGACGGGUGAGUAACACGUGGAUAACCUACCUAUAAGACUGGGAUAACUUCGGGAAACCGGAGCUAAUACCGGAUAAUAUAUUGAACCGCAUGGUUCAAUAGUGAAAGACGGUUUUGCUGUCACUUAUAGAUGGAUCCGCGCCGCAUUAGCUAGUUGGUAAGGUAACGGCUUACCAAGGCAACGAUGCGUAGCCGACCUGAGAGGGGGGUCGGCCACCUGGGAGCUGAGACAGGGUCCAGACUCCUACGGGAGGCAGCAGUAGGGAAUCUUCCGCAAUGGGCGAAAGCCUGACGGAGCAACGCCGCGUGAGUGAUGAAGGUCUUCGGAUCGUAAAACUCUGUUAUUAGGGAAGAACAAAUGUGUAAGUAACUAUGCACGUCUUGACGGUACCUAAUCAGAAAGCCACGGCUAACUACGUG
rnacentral:rRNA from 1 species